rnacentral:rRNA from 1 species
AAAAAGGGCGUGAAAAGCGCCCUCGCCGAAAGCCCAAGGUUUCCUACGCGACGUUCAUCGGCGUAGGGUGAAUCGGCUCCUAGGCGAGGCAGAGAUGCGUAGUCGAUGGGAAACAGGUCAAUAUUCCUGUACCGAUUCUAGAUGCGAUGUGGGGACGGAGAAGGUUAGGUCAGCCGGGUGUUGGACGUCCCGGUUUAAGCGUGUAGGCGUGCCCCUUAGGCAAAUCCGGGGGGCUGAGCUGAGGCGUGAUGACGAGGAACCACGGUUCCGAAGUGAUUGAUACCAAGCUUCCAGGAAAAGCCACUAAGCUUCAGUCUAGAGUUGACCGUACCGCAAACCGACACAGGUGGGCAGGAUGAAAAUUCUAAGGCGCUUGAGAGAACUCAGGAGAAGGAACUCGGCAAAUUAACACCGUAACUUCGGGAGAAGGUGUGCCCCAGUAGCGUGUAGAGACUUGCUCUCGAAGCGCGAUGGGGUUGCAGUGAAAUGGUGGCUGCGACUGUUUAAUAAAAACACAGCACUCUGCAAACACGAAAGUGGACGUAUAGGGUGUGACGCCUGCCCGGUGCCGGAAGGUUAAGUGAUGGGGUGCAAGCUCUUGAUCGAAGCCCCGGUAAACGGCGGCCGUAACAAUAACGGUCCUAAGGUAGCGAAAUUCCUUGUCGGGUAAGUUCCGACCUGCACGAAUGGCGUAACGAUGGCCACACUGUCUCCUCCUGGGACUCAGCGAAGUUGAAAUGUUUGUGAAGAUGCAAUCUACCCGCGGCUAGACGGAAAGACCCCAUGAACCUUUACUGUAGCUUUGCAUUGGACUUUGAACCGGUUUGUGUAGGAUAGGUGGGAGACUGUGAAGCCGGGACGCUAGUUUCGGUGGAGUCAACCUUGAAAUACCACCCCGAUUUGUUUGAGGUUCUAACCUUGGUCCGUGAAUCCGGAUCGGGGACCGUGCAUGGUAGGCAGUUUGACUGGGGCGGUCUCCUCCCAAAAGGUAACGGAGGAGUACGAAGGUACGCUUAGGGCGGUCGGACAUCGCCCACAAAGUGCAAUGGCAAAAGCGUGCUUGACUGCGAGACCCACAAGUCGAGCAGGUACGAAAGUAGGUCAUAGUGAUCCGGUGGUUCUGUAUGGAAGGGCCAUCGCUCAACGGAUAAAAGGUACUCUGGGGAUAACAGGCUAAUUCCUCCCAAGAGUUCAUAUCGACGGGGGAGUUUGGCACCUCGAUGUCGGCUCAUCACAUCCUGGGGCUGUAGUCGGUCCCAAGGGUAUGGCUGUUCGCCAUUUAAAGUGGUACGCGAGCUGGGUUUAAAACGUCGUGAGACAGUUUGGUCCCUAUCUGCCGUGGGCGCUGGAAAUUUGAAGGGGGCUGCUCCUAGUACGAGAGGACCGGAGUGGACGAACCUCUGGUGUACCGGUUAUGACGCCAGUCGUAUCGCCGGGUAGCUAAGUUCGGAAGAGAUAAACGCUGAAAGCAUCUAAGCGUGAAACUCGCCUUAAGAUAAGAUUUCCCGGAGUCUUGAACUCCCUGAAGGGUCGUCGAAGACCACGACGUUGAUAGGUCAGGUGUGGAAGCGCAGCAAUGCGUUAAGCUAACUGAUACUAAUUGCCCGUGCGGCUUGAUC